rnacentral:rRNA from 1 species
CCUACGGGAGGCAGCAGUGGGGAAUAUUGGUCAAUGGACGAGAGUCUGAACCAGCCAAGUAGCGUGAAGGAUGACUGCCCUAUGGGUUGUAAACUUCUUUUGUAAAGGAAUAAAACGAGGCACGUGUGCCUUUUUGCAUUUACUUUAUGAAUAAGGAUCGGCUAACUCCGUGCCAGCAGCCGCGGUAAUACGGAGGAUUCGAGCGUUACCCGGAUUUAUUGGGUUUAAAGGGAGCGUAGAUGGGUUGUUAAGUCAGGUGUGAAAGUUUGCGGCUCAACCGUAAAAUUGCAAUUGAUACUGGCAGGCUUGAGUGCAGGUGAGGAAGGCGGAAUUCGUGGUGUAGCGGUGAAAUGCUUAGAUAUCACGAAGAACCUCGAUUGCGAAGGCAGCUUACUAAACUGUGACUGACAUUGAUGCUCGAAAGUGUGGGUAUCAAACAGGAUUAGAUACCCUAGUAGUC